GAUGAACGCUGGCGGCGUGCCUAAUACAUGCAAGUCGAACGCUGGAAAUCUAGCUUGCUAGUUUGAAGGAGUGGCGAACGGGUGAGUAAUACAUAAGCAACCUACCCACGAAGACUGGGAUAAUCUCUGGAAACGGGGACUAAUACCGGAUAGGUAAUCGGAAGGCAUCUUCUGAUUAUUAAAGUUUAUAAACACUGGUGGAUGGGCUUAUGGCGCAUUAGUUAGUUGGUGAGGUAACGGCCCACCAAGACGAUGAUGCGUAGCCGGCCUGAGAGGGUGAACGGCCACAUUGGGACUGAGACACGGCCCAGACUCCUACGGGAGGCAGCAGUAGGGGAUUUUCGGCAAGGGGGGAAACCCUGACCGAGCAACGCCGCGUGAGUGAUGACGGCCUUCGGGUUGUAAAGCUCUGUUGUAAGGGAAGAACGGUAGAUAGAGAAUAUCUAAAUGACGGUACCUAAACAGAAAGCCACGGCUAACUACGUG
rnacentral:rRNA from 1 species